GUGGGCUGGACUUUCUUCGGGCAUAUUAUGAUGCAAACAAGGAAAUAAGGAAGUGCUGGUGGAGUGGAUGUGGAUGAGAGCUGCCCGGUAUCACCAUCUGAUUCACCAAGGGCAUCAUAUACUGGUGACGGGGCCAGAAGGCCUAUAAAAGCUCUCCCUCCCAGCGCCUCCUUAUCCACUUGACUCCACAUCCACUCCCUCCUGUUCGCUUGACAGGCAUUUCUGAGUUGAAGAACCAUGUCUUACCCCAACCAGCAGCAAUGCAAGCAGGUUGUGUGUCCUCCACCAUUGAUUCCUCCCCAGAAAUGUACUCCACCGCAGUGUCCUCUACCAAAGUGCCCUCCAUCAAAGUGCCCUCCACCCCAGUGGCCUGACCAGAAGUGCCCUCCACCCCAGUGUCCUGACCAGAAGUGCCCUCCAUCGAAGUGCCCUCCACCGCAGUGGCCUGACCAGAAGUGCCCUCCACCGCAGUGUCCUCAGCAACAGUGACCUCCACAGAAGUGAUGGCUGAUGCCCCAACCCACCGCGGCAACAUCAACAUCUGGGAAAGCAAGAGCAAGUCAGCAAGUCCCUGAAUGCAGUUUCUUUCACAUCCCUUGCUCUUCUCCCCUUGUUUCCCAGGCUGUUCCUGCAACCAUUUCCAAGCUCUGCUCUUGUACCCAGCAAUGAUCCUGUUCUAAGUGGUGCCUUGAAUCUGUGCCGGUGCCAACUGACUUUGCGAUUCAGUCUCCUGGCAUUUUCUUUCUGGUAAGAAGCUGGAUACGGAGAUACAGGACCAGUCUUUAAAUUAUUUUCCAGUGUUUCCCUCCUAUCUUACAUUGUGAGCUUCGUCCAAUAAAAGUUUUCCUUCAUGGCA